CUGUUGGAGGGUUGCCCGAGUAGCACGGGGCCCGAGAAAUCCCGUGUGAAUCUGCCAGGACCACCUGGUAAGCCUGAAUACUACCUGUUGACCGAUAGCGGAUCAGUACCGUGAGGGAAUGGUGAAAAGUACCCCGGGAGGGGAGUGAAAUAGUACCUGAAACCAUGUGCCUACAAACCGUUGGAGCCUCCUUGUGGGGUGACAGCGUGCCUUUUGAAGAAUGAGCCUGCGAGUUAGUGAUACGUGGCG
rnacentral:rRNA from 1 species